AUCUAUGUGGUAUUCCAUGGUUGUUUUGGGAGUUGGCGUAAGUUGUCAUGGCAUGUGUAGAUGCCUUCUUCGAUAAAGAUGUGUAGAUUCCUGGGUGCCUGGACAAUAGAAAAGGAGAGAUUGCAUUGUUGUCCCCCGGUUCUGUUUUGAUUGAUGUGAGCACAUGGAGGAUUUUUGCAGGUUAUUGACCUUGUGUUCACAGCCUAUCUGUUCGGCGGACCAAGCAGUUUGAGAGGUAGGAUAUGGGAUACCAAUCAGUUGUGAUGGCAUAAGAGCCAAUUGGACAUCAAGGUAUUGAAAAUCAGGGUGAAGCUUCGGCACUGUCCACAUCUUCCUAUCUCUACGCGCUCUCCCAAGGAACUCACCAUGCCCUUAUAGAAGGUGACACGCUACAAGAGUAUUGGAUAUUUUGUUGUUCCUGAGUUCAUUGUAUAUGUACCAAAAGUUUGAAAGGGUCAGCUAUUUUCUGUUUCCUCUUUGCACAUGUACAUGAAUACUUCUCAUUAUGUGUGUAUAUUAGUAUAUAGUACUACCUAGCCAUGUUCAUGUUUCUGUAACAGUAGCAUCUUUUUUUGGUGGGAUAGUAACAUAACAUGUAUUCUUAUACAAUGCUAAGCUGCGAGGAUAGCCACAAUUAUUUACUUUUGUAUGAGCAAAAUAAAUGUAGUUUGUUGUUUACUGAUCUUAA